rnacentral:rRNA from 1 species
CUUGAUAAAAUAUAAGAGGUCCAGCCUGCCCAGUGAAAAUUCAACGGCCGCGGUACACUGACCGUGCAAAGGUAGCAUAAUCACUCGCCCCCUAAUUAGGGGCCUGUAUCAACGGCAUCACGAGGGUUAUUCUGUCUCCUUUUUCUAAUCAGUGAAACUGAUCUACCCGUGAAAAAGCGGGUAUUCAACUAUAAGACGAGAAGACCCCAUGGAGCUUCAAACCAAAAGCAAAUUAAAUUCAUAUACCACUAUAGCUAUUAUACUAUGUACAUUGGUUUUAGGUUGGGGCAACCGCGGAGAAAAACUUAACCUCCACAACGAAAAGACCUUAGUCUUUAUCCCAGAGCCACCGCUCUAAGAACUAAGAUAUUAACGAUAAUGAUCCAACUCUAUAGUUGAUCAACGGACCA